rnacentral:rRNA from 1 species
CAGCCGCCGCGGUAAUACGUAGGUGGCAAGCGUUGUCCGGAAUUAUUGGGCGUAAAGCGCGCGCAGGCGGUUCCUUAAGUCUGAUGUGAAAUCUCGUGGCUCAACCGUGAGCGGUCAUUGGAAACUGGGGAACUUGAGUGCAGGAGAGAAGAGCGGAAUUCCACGUGUAGCGGUGAAAUGCGUAGAGAUGUGGAGGAACACCAGUGGCGAAGGCGGCUCUUUGGCCUGUAACUGACGCUGAGGCGCGAAAGCGUGGGGAGCAAACAGGAUUAGAUACCCUGGUAGUCCACGCCGUAAACGAUGAGUGCUAGGUGUUAGAGGGUUUCCGCCCUUUAGUGCUGCAGCUAACGCAUUAAGCACUCCGCCUGGGGAGUACGGCCGCAAGGCUGAAACUUAAAGGAAUUGGCGGG